AGAGAGAUGCCAUUUUGUGUAUGGCACAAGUCACUAUGAAAAAGAGCCACAGGGAAGGCAGUGGUGCAGCAGAGGAUUUUAUUCUCCACUCCAAUCUUUUAUUCCUACAGCUGGUGCCAAGCUGGGUGAGGACAUUACCCCUCUGAAAAGUACAAGUAGCCUGAAGGGAAUGCCACAAGCUGCUGUUUUCUAUGGCGAUGUAGGGGAUGGUAGCAGCCCAUGGCAUCUGCUUUACUGUGACAUCUUACCUCCAGCAAAGUGGGAAGUUGAGCAGCUGCUUGCAGAACCAAAGCCAGUCUUCUGCCUGGGAUCAGUUGGCAAGGAUUUAUGUGAAAGAAGUAUAAUAAGGCUGUUGAAAAUACUUUAUUUUCAAAUGGUUAGUGCUGCUUCCACUCAGGAGUGUCCUACAGCUUUCCAUAGGUCCAAGAAAGGUCAGUUUUCAUCCAAGUGGAAUCUCAUAUGAGGAAAAUUUAGGUUCUCCGAGAAGACACAGCAACUACAUCUGCCAUCCCAAGAGGACUGCAGCUACUCCAAUUUGGACUGCUACCAUCACGCUGGCCAGGUUAGGAAGACCAGGCCCAUCUACACCACCACUGGACCUUCAGAGGCAAACUACACCCUUCUACAGGAUCACUGCUUCAACAGAACCACAUCUGUCACUGCAGGAGGACUGCAGCCACCAUUAAUGGGACUGCUACCAGCACCCUGACCCACAGAGUACCAGGUUUGAGCCAGAAUGGGUUUUUCUUCCUAAGAAAAGCUAAGCUUGUCUCUGCUGGAAAUUGCACUUUACAUGUUGGAUAGUUCACAGGUUACGGGUUAUUGCAAGCUAUCUGAUUCCACAGUAGACAUGACCACAUUAUCUGUUUUGAAUAUAACCCUGAUCCUUCAGAGAAGCUAAAAUUUCUUUAAACAUGGAAAUCAAUAAAGAGUACUUGAAAUAUUUUGGAAGACACUGGAAUUUUAUAAAGGUGGUUCCAUAAAGUUUCUCAACCUUCAUUGUGUUCUGAGUGAGUACAGCUGUGUGCAAUUCCCUAAACUUCAGGAUGAAACUGAGUCCACUUAUUUUAAUUUUGCUGCCCAUUAACUUCAGGCUGAAGACAGGAAUUCUAACCUGAAAACAGCAUGCAUCUCAAAUUGGCACAGAAGUAUGUUUUUUAAAUUAUGGCUGGUUUAAGAAACCUCUGAACUGUCAUGUACCAUCUGAAUUAAUGAGGUCAUACAGGUCUAAGAUCUCAAAAAAGGCCCAUCUAGAUUAGAAUUGAUUAAUCCUGUAUUGGGCUGCAGAGUAUUAUUAGAGUGACAAUAGAUGUAGGUUUUGUGUAAGCAUAAUUUCAUAAAGAUCAUCAGCUGUAUUCUUUAAUUAGUGAUGUUCACCUGUAACUUGAUUGUAGUGAAAAUUUCUCCAAAACCAUUAACACACAUUUGCUAAGAAGUAAUUUUGUGAAGAAAAAUAAUUGUCAAAGAAAUUAUUUAUAAGUAAGAAAAUGUGCUCAUAAAAGUUCAAUGUGGAACACAAAUCCCUUCAAAUACCUGAGUUUCUGACAGAAUUUCUAUUUCUAUAUCAUGCAUGAAUUUCCACCUUCCUAUUGAAAUCAUUACUUUUUCCCUUUUAUUAAUAAAAUUAACUGUAAAAUCAAGCAGUGACUAAAAGAUAAUGUAACUAGCAUAUAGACAUACCUAAAAGCAAAACUGCAAGUUUGAGCUCCAUUUAGCAUCGAAGAACUCAAAAAUAUUCUGAUUUAAAUUUGACAGCUGCUGUUUCUGUAAUCAGUUAAUAUAAAGCCUGUGAUCCGAAUACUAAUAAGAUUUGUUUCCUUUUAACAUAAACACUGAAUGCUAAGCCCAAUGGAGUGCUGAAGACAAUGGAAUUUUUAAUAAUAAAUGUGGAAAAAGAAUAAAAACAAGGAAUCUUUGUGGUUUGUUUAUCUCCUGGUCUAUAAUUCUAUUGAAAUAAUUUCAUAGGAUAAAUUGAUGGCUUGCUAAAACACCAUCUAAAUGUUUGUCAACUGUUUGCAUGAUGUUACUGGUAUUAUUUAAAAAAACAAUUCUCUAGAAGAACAAGGGGCAUAUUUUGUUAACAGACCUUUUUAUUUUUUGCACUGUGGUUUUGAAUCCUAAUGUAUAAUCAAUUGAAUAUCACAAAACCUGUUAGGUAUAUAGCCUUUAAUUUUCUACCCUUCAAUAUUAAGUGGUCAAAAUAAGUGGUUGUUUCAGUGUGAUUAUCAUGAUCAUAAUGAGGCCUGACACUUGUGACACUUCAGACAUGCAACCACCAGCAGGUCUAUCACAGCAAAGGAGCUCCGAGUGCAACACAUUGUAGUGGUGGGGAGAGUUGUAAGCUCAUGGCUUUGCACAGCAGAUGUGGCCACACAUCUUUGCACCCCUAAACACACAUGCUCAUCCAAAUUCACAUACCAGACAAUGGCACAAAUAACCCAUCACUGACACUUAAACAAAGACUUCAUCUCUAAAG
rnacentral:lncRNA from 1 species